UGGGGAGUCGUCCAAUGGCAGGACACGCGGCUCUGGACCGCGGAAUCGGGGUUCAAAUCCCUGCUCCCCAGCCA
rnacentral:tRNA from 1 species